rnacentral:rRNA from 1 species
AUUGAACGCUGGCGGCAUGCUUUACACAUGCAAGUCGAACGGCAGCGGGGAGGAGCUUGCUUCUCUGCCGGCGAGUGGCGAACGGGUGAGUAAUACAUCGGAACGUGUCGAGAAGAGGGGGAUAACCACCCGAAAGGGUGGCUAAUACCGCAUAAAUUCUGAGGAAGAAAGCUGGGGACCUAGGAAUAGGCCUAGCGCUUUUUGAGCGGCCGAUGUCGGAUUAGCUAGUUGGUGAGGUAAAGGCUCACAAAGGCGAAGAUCUGUAGCGGGUCUGAGAGGAUGAUCCGCCACACUGGGACUGAGACACGGCCCAGACUCCUACGGGAGGCAGCAGUGGGGAAUUUUGGACAAUGGGGGCAACCCUGAUCCAGCCAUGCCGCGUGUAUGAAGAAGGCCUUAGGGUUGUAAAGUACUUUUGUUAGGGAAGAAAAGUCAGCUGUGAAUAAUGGCUGAUACUGACGGUACCUAAAGAAUAAGCACCGGCUAACUACGUG